ensembl:rRNA 5S_rRNA 5S ribosomal RNA
UACGGCCAUACCACCCUGAACGCGCCCGAUCUCGUCUGAUCUCGGAAGCUAAGCAGGGUCGGGCCUGGUUAGUACUUGGAUGGGAGAAAUCAUUGGCCCAGAGUCGUUC